rnacentral:rRNA from 1 species
AAAGUUUGAUCCUGGCUCAGGAUGAACGCUAACUACAGGCUUAACACAUGCAAGUCGAGGGGAAACGACAUCGAAAGCUUGCUUUUGAUGGGCGUCGACCGGCGCACGGGUGAGUAACGCGUAUCCAACCUGCCCAUCACUUGGGGAUAACCUUGCGAAAGUAAGACUAAUACCCAAUGACGUCUCUAGAAGACAUCUGAAAGAGAUUAAGGAUUUAUCGGUGAUGGAUGGGGAUGCGUCUGAUUAGCUUGUUGGCGGGGUAACGCCACAAGGCGACGAUCAGUAGGGGUUCUGAGAGGAAGGUCCCCCANAUUGGAACUGAGACACGGUCAAACUCCUACGGGAGCA